UACAGAGGUCUCAAGCGUUGUUCGGGUUCAUUGGGCGUAAAGGGUGCGUAGGUGGCGCUGUAAGUCAGGUGUGAAAUUUCGGAGCUUAACUCCGAAACUGCAUUUGAUACUACGGUGCUUGAGGACUGGAGAGGAGACUGGAAUUCACGGUGUAGCAGUGAAAUGCGUAGAGAUCGUGAGGAAGACCAGUGGCGAAGGCGGGUCUCUGGACAGUUCCUGACACUGAGGCACGAAGGCCAGGGGAGCAAACGGG
rnacentral:rRNA from 1 species